GUUGCUGCAUUGUUUGCCCUUUUUUUUAAGGCUGUGUUCAUGUCUAGUGGUUAUAGAGGCUGUUUAUUUUUAUAGGGUCACUGUUGGGUGUCCAUAGCCAGAGAGCUGAGCCGCUCGCUGACUGCUGUAUGUCCAGUUCGAGCCGUGAGCCGCUCGCGAGCUGUUACUGGUAGGUUUCCUUUGCUUACGAUCCCAUAAUGUGUUUAUGUUGCAUGUGUGUAACAGCUUGUCAUUUUCGGCUGUUACCGUGGCUGCCGGUUGCUCCCCGUUCCCUUGUGGUGGACAAAAUUUACUGAUUGGCGGGCCGCCGCUUGUCUGGAGCUGUGCUGGCUACACGGGGUCCCAAACGUAGGAGACGCUGCUGUUUUGCCUCCGUGGGUUUGUUUCGCAGACGUGGGUCUGUGUUACCGACGCUUGCCGGUCGGCUUCGCCUUCUUUCAGUCUGUUAUCUGCUUUUGUGUUGGCGCUGUGGGUGUUGGGCUGUUUCCAGCUUGUCUCUGUGGCCGCUGACCAACGAAGCUGUGGGCCUCCGGUGGUGGGGACUGGUGUCUUCAGGUGGUGGGAACCCCUUCCUGUGUGGCGUGCUGCUCAUCCCCUGGUUGUUUUUUUUUUUUUUUUUAAAUUCUUCACUCAGGUGUGUGUGUGUAUGUAUGUAUGUAUGUGUGGGUGUGGGUGUGCGCGUGUUCACGUGUGAGUGGGGUGAUUUCUCUUGGGCUCCCUUGUGAUGCCCGUUGGCCCAAACCUCCACCAGAGAGCCCCCAGCUCUGAUUAGUCCCCAAACCCGUCAUUUAACAAUCUCGUGUGAAUGGUUGUUUUUUUUCUUUUUCUUGGUUUUAAACUGAGUAUUUUCGGUAUUAAAUAAAAUUUGUAUUUUUUUGCCUGCACUGGAACCAUGUCUCCUGCCUCAUCAGUAGAACGAACCUGAGUUGCCU
ensembl:lncRNA